rnacentral:rRNA from 1 species
AAGUUUGAUCAUGGCUCAGAAUCAACGCUGGUAGCGUGCCUAACACAUGCAAGUCGAACGAGAAAGUCCGCAAGGAUGAGUAAAGUGGCGAACGGGUGAGUAACACGUGACUACCUACCCUCGAGUGGGGGAUAACCCCGGGAAACCGGGGCUAAUACCGCAUAAUCUCGCAGGAGCAAAUGCGCAAGCAGCUUGAGGAGGGGGUCGCGGCUGAUUAGCUAGUUGGUGAGGUAACGGCUCACCAAGGCGAUGAUCAGUAGCCGGCCUGAGAGGGCGCACGGCCACACUGGAACUGAAACACGGUCCAGACUCCUACGGGAGGCAGCAGUGGGGAAUUUUGCGCAAUGGGGGAAACCCUGACGCAGCAACGCCGCGUGGAGGAUGAAGUUCCUUGGAACGUAAACUCCUUUCGACCGGGACGAUUAUGACGGUACCGGUAGAAGAAGCCCCGGCUAACUUCGUGCCAGCAGCCGCGGUAAUACGAGGGGGGCAAGCGUUGUUCGGAAUUAUUGGGCGUAAAGGGCGCGUAGGCGGUGCGGUAAGUACACCUGUGAAAACUCCCGGUCAAACUGGG